GCCCGCGCGUCAAAACCCUAGCCGCCAGCCCUGCUCGUCCCGAGCCUGCGCCCACUCCGCCCCGUUCUCCUCCCCGCUCCCUCCAUCCUCUCCCAUGGCGCCGCCCCUCUUCUCCCCACUCGCCUCGGCCGCGUCUUCUCCUCCCCCGCGUCGUCGGCCCCCUCCCUCCUCCUCCCCCCUCUGUCCUUCGUCAUCACACGGGUCUUCCGGCCAGUGCCGGGGUGCAGCUGACGGCGGCCUCAGCGGGUGGGCGAUGGCGGCCGCAGCUAUGCACAAGCUCGCAUCGCCCUGGCGCCGAUCUCGCGCGGCUCCUGCGCCUCGCCACCCUCUUCUCCCCAGCUCAGCAGGAGGUUUGCGAGGCCACCACUUGGGCCGCUGCUGCCUCUUCCGCCCAGCAGGAGGAGCACGAGGUGAGCAGCAACAACGGGGACAGGCGACCUCGGGGAGAGUUUGCGGAGGGGCGCAUAUCAGAUCCUUUCUGAAUCCGAUGGUGUCAAUCGAGCCACAGAGAGGAAGUGAGUUGGAGAUGAGAUGGGGACAGAAGAUCCUUCUCGGCUGGUUCCAAGGCCGUGAGGGGAAGGACUUCCUGUUGUCCGCCGGAGGGGAAAGAGCAGAGAUCCGAGAGACGAAGCAACCAGAGGAGCCGGAGAACACGACCCAUGUCCUAUGUACCGGCCACAUCCCCCACAGCUUCUGCGAGGACCAUAUGCAAGGUUUCUUUUAGCAGCUUGGGGUUAUUAAGAAGAGGGUCAGUAUUGCCCAGAACCGCAAGAGAGUGGAAGUUUUAGAAUGGUGCGGACAGGUUGAGAGCAAUAGAUGUUGUUUUAAGUCCUAGGCGAGCACUCCAGAUUGUUACUACCGAGAAUGGAAUUCAAGAAGAUAUACUUUUGGCGUUGUAUUAUUACCUCUCGUAUCUGAUAGAUAACACAAAGUUAUCAGUUUAGUUGGAAAAAGAAAAAGUCCAGAUCAAUUGUGAGGAUAUGAUCAUUGGCAUACUUACCCCCUGAUGAUGCCUCAUUUCUUCAGAAUUUGAGGCUGUUCUUGAUAUGCCAGAAGUAUGAGUGGGUUGACUUUUCUUGACGUGUAUUUUAUACAACAAGCAACUACCUUGCGCCGUCUUCCAGCCACCAACAACCCCAUGACCCUGCAUCAGGACAAAUUUGAUUUUGGGAAGACAAAGGUCUGACAAGGAUGAGAAUGGGAUACCAGAUUACAACGGUGGAGGCUCGGACAUGGAUCUGCUCAUGCUCUCAACGGGAAUACUGGAUGUUCUCGAAGCUUUGCCAUACACACGUGCUACUUUUGGCACUUGCGUGGGCUCCAGUUUGUGUCAAUGCAAUUUGCAUCUGUCAGCGGAUUAUGGCGAGCUUGGUUAUUGGCCUACAGGGUGCUCCACCGAUGGUGAAAAUACCUCACAGGAUGAUGUUGGAUAUUAUUCUGCAAACUUUGGGCCUACCGGUGGCUGAGUAUCGAAGCAAAAUGUGACAGUGGCAUGAUGUGGAUGACUAUAAUUUCCAUACACCAACAUUAUCUUUUGGAGAUAAAAUAGCCGUAUGGCUAUUACAUGAGACCAUGUCAGGAGACCCUGCUGCUAUGGAAGCAAAAUGAUUCAUGAAAUCUGUGGUGAAAACAGAGAUAAUAUACUACAGUUACAGCAGCAUUGAGAAACCGAGGACACGAAAUGAGUCUGAAAAAUGCUAUGGGCUAAUUCGUUCUAGCUAGGCGAUGUGUGGUAGAAGCUGUACUCACAGGAAGACUAUCGUGCUGUGUAUAAACCACGUUCUACGAUUCACUUCUGUUAUGCAUAUUUACUUUCCAGUUUUAGGACUGAAAUCCAUCCAUUGUAAUGAAUUUGGUUGUAUGGGCAUUACCUAUUUGACUUAGGCUUGCUUCAUCACAUAUAGACUGCUUUUCUUUUCCCCACUACUUGCAUGACCUAAAACUAUCAUGUAUAUGAGGCAAGUUAUUAGCAAUGUUUCACAUUUUCUUA